AUGGGGGACAGGGCGUCGUGCAGGUUCCGCACGGUGUGCGUCUUCUGCGGCAGCAGCGCCGGCAAACGCAGGGUGUUCGGCGAUGCGGCCCUCGACCUUGGCCGCGAGCUGGUGACGAGGGGCGUCGACCUGGUCUACGGCGGCGGCAGCAUCGGGCUCAUGGGCCUUGUCGCGCGGACGGUGCUCGACGGCGGCCGCCGUGUCGUCGGGGUGAUUCCCAGGGCUCUCAUGCCUGUCGAGAUAUUAGGUGAGAGUGUGGGGGAAGUAAAGGUUGUGUCUGACAUGCACGAGAGGAAAGCAGAGAUGGCUCGACGAUCUGAAGCAUUCAUCGCUCUUCCAGGGGGGUAUGGAACCAUGGAGGAGCUGUUGGAGAUGAUAACAUGGUCCCAACUCGGAAUUCACAACAAACCUGUUGGGUUGCUGAAUGUGGAUGGUUACUAUGAUACCCUGCUUGCCCUAUUUGACAAAGGCGCGCGAGAGGGCUUCAUCAACCCAGACUGUACACACAUACUUGUCUCAGCGCCGACCGCCACGGAAUUGCUGACAAAGAUGGAGGAAUACACUAGGUCGCACCAAGAGGUGGCCCCAACGACGAGUUGGGAGAUCUCAGAUCUUGGCUACACAAAAGCACCACCGGCUGACGGAUGA
rnacentral:rRNA from 1 species